GGCUGGUUAGCUCAGUUGGUUAGAGUAUGGUGCUAAUAACGCCAAGGUCAUGGGUUCGAUCCCUGUAUGGGCCA